ACAUACGACCAUACCCACUGGAGAACUCGGGAUCCCGUCCGCUCUCCCAUAGAUAAGCCAGUGAGGGCUAGAGUAGUAGUCAGGUCGGUGACGACUGGCGAAUGCCUGGUGUUGUAUGUU
rfam:Colletotrichum higginsianum, IMI 349063, WGS project CACQ02000000 data, contig: cont1.1154